rnacentral:rRNA from 1 species
AUGUUGGGUUAAGUCCCGUAACGAGCGCAACCCUUAUCCCUAGUUGCCAGCACGUAAUGGUGGGAACUUUAGGGAGACUGCCGGUGACAAACCGGAGGAAGGUGGGGACGACGUCAAGUCAUCAUGGCCCUUACGAGUAGGGCUACACACGUGCUACAAUGGGCGGUACAGUGGGUUGCCAAAGCGCGAGCUGGAGCUAAUCCCUUAAAACCGUUCGUAGUCCGGAUUGGAGUCUGCAACUCGACUCCAUGAAGUCGGAAUCGCUAGUAAUCGUGAAUCAGAAUGUCACGGUGAAUACGUUCCCGGGCCUUGUACACACCGCCCGUCACACCAUGGGAGUGGGUUGCACCAGAAGUGGCUAGUCUAACCCUCGGGAGGACGGUCACCACGGUGUGAUUCAUGACUGGGAAAGUCGUAACAAGGUAACC